CAGUCGCCGCGGGAAUACGAAGGGGGCGAGCGUUGCUCGGAAUGACUGGGCGUAAAGGGCGCGUAGGUGGUGUGUACAGUCAGGCGUGAAAUUCCCGGGCUCAACCUGGGGGCUGCGCUUGAUACGUGCAUACUAGAGUGUGGAAGAGGGUCGUGGAAUUCCCAGUGUAGAGGUGAAAUUCGUAGAUAUUGGGAAGAACACCGGUGGCGAAGGCGGCGACCUGGUCCAUUACUGACGCUGAGGCGCGAAAGCGUGGGGAGCAAACAGGAUUAGAUACCCCUGUAGUCCCUGUCUCUUAUAC
rnacentral:rRNA from 1 species